rnacentral:rRNA from 1 species
UACGGAGGGUGCAAGCGUUUAUCCGGAUUCACUGGGUUUAAAGGGUGCGUAGGUGGGCAGGUAAGUCAGUGGUGAAAUCUCCGGGCUUAACCCGGAACUGCCGUUGAUACUAUCUGUCUUGAAUAUAGUGGAGGUGAGCGGAAUAUGUCAUGUAGCGGUGAAAUGCUUAGAUAUGACAUAGAACAUCGAUUGCGAAGGCAGCUCGCUACGCUAUUUAUUGACACUGAGGCACGGAAAGCGUGGGGAUCAAACAGG